rnacentral:rRNA from 1 species
AACGAACGCUGGCGGCAGGCUUAACACAUGCAAGUCGAGCGCCCCGCAAGGGGAGCGGCAGACGGGUGAGUAACGCGUGGGAACCUACCCAUCUCUACGGAAUAACGCAUGGAAACGUGUGCUAAUACCGUAUACGUCCUUCGGGAGAAAGAUUUAUCGGAGAUGGAUGAGCCCGCGUUGGAUUAGCUAGUUGGUGGGGUAAAGGCCUACCAAGGCGACGAUCCAUAGCUGGUCUGAGAGGAUGAUCAGCCACACUGGGACUGAGACACGGCCCAGACUUCUACGGGAGGCAGCAGUGGGGAAUAUUGGACAAUGGGCGCAAGCCUGAUCCAGCCAUGCCGCGUGAGUGAUGAAGGCCCUAGGGUUGUAAAGCUCUUUCACCGGUGAAGAUAAUGACGGUAACCGGAGAAGAAGCCCCGGCUAACUUCGUGCCAGCCGCCGCGGUAAGAC